rfam:Aspergillus aculeatus ATCC 16872 unplaced genomic scaffold ASPACscaffold_10, whole genome shotgun sequence.
GCGUUAGUGGUGUAGCGGUUAGCAUUGUUGCCUUCCAAGCAAUAGAUCGGGGUUCGACUCCCCGCUGACGCA